UACGGGGGGGGCAAGCGUUGUUCGGAAUUACUGGGCGUAAAGGGCUCGUAGGCGGCCAACUAAGUCAGACGUGAAAUCCCUCGGCUUAACCGGGGAACUGCGUCUGAUACUGGAUGGCUUGAGAUUGGGAGAGGGAUGCGGAAUUCCAGGUGUAGCGGUGAAAUGCGUACGAUAUCAGGAGGAACACCAAUAGCGAAGGCAGCUCGCUGGGACGGUAUUGACGCUGAGGCGCGAAAGCGUGGGGAGCAAACAGG
rnacentral:rRNA from 1 species